UAAGGAAUAUUGCGCAAUGGGGGAAACCCUGACGCAGCAACGCCGCGUGGAGGUUGACACUUUUCGGAGCGUAAACUCCUUUUAUCAGGAAAGAAUAAUGACGGUACCUGAUGAAUAAGCACCGGCUAACUCCGUGCCAGCAGCCGCGGUAAUACGGGGGGUGCAAGCGUUACUCGGAAUCACUGGGCGUAAAGGACGCGUAGGCGGAUUAUCAAGUCUUUUGUGAAAUCUAGUGGCUUAACCACUAAACUGCUUAGGAAACUGAUAGUCUAGAGUAGGGGAGAGGUAGAUGGAAUUCUUGGUGUAGGGGUAAAAUCCGUAGAGAUCAAGAAGAAUACCCAUUGCGAAAGCGAUCUGCUGGAACCUAACUGACGCUGAGGCGUGAAAGCGUGGGUAGCAAACAGG
rnacentral:rRNA from 1 species